AAUAUUGGAGAAUUUUCCACAGUGUGAUAAAGCCUGGCCGAGCGAUGGAUCAUGGACUUAGAAUGGCCAAGGUUUUUAACCUCCUUUUAUCGGAAAAGAACCAAUGAAAGAAUCUGAGGAAUACUCAUCGCCUAACUCUGUGCCAAUACCCACGGGGCUACAGAGGAUGCAAAUGUUAUCCGGAAUGAUUGGGCGUAGCGCGUCUUGUAGGUGGCUUUUUAAGUCUGCCGUCUCUCCCCCGGCUUGCCCCUGGACACUGCGGUGGAAACUAUCCAAGCUGGAUUACUGUAAGGGCAGAGUGUAAUUUCCGAGUGUAGCAGAGAUAUGCAAAAAGAUCGGAGACAACACGCGGCUCACAGGACUCUCUGCUGAGGCCUGACACUGACACUGAGU
rnacentral:rRNA from 1 species